GGAAGUAUAGCUCAGUUGGUAGAGUGCUUGCCUUGCAUGCACAAGGCCCUGGGUUUAAUCCCAGUACCCCCA
rnacentral:tRNA from 1 species